UUCGUUUAUUCGCGUUCGGUGCAUGUUUUUUGAAUUCUGAGCGCUGGUAUCACUAUAAUAAUAUAAAGCGUAUUUUUUCUCGUUUUCCGUCUGCAGAUAUGUUUUUUUACAGGAAAUCUCGCUUCAAUCGGAAAUUUACAAGCGUUUUUCGUAUAGAAUUUCAGAUCAAGUCAGUCAGUGUUCGAUUUCCCAAGCGGUUGUCAUAAUAAUUGAGAAAGUUAAAAAAAAAAAAAAACACGUAAAAUUAAAACUGAUAACUUUACUAAAUUUAAUAAAUGAGAAAAGCCGGGGAAAACGUAGGAAAAACGAGAAAAUAG